rnacentral:rRNA from 1 species
GAUGAACGCUGGCGGCGUGCCUAGUACAUGCAAGUCGAGCGAACAGACGAGGAGCUUGCCCCUCUGACGUUAGCGGCGGACGGGUGAGUAACACGUGGAUAACCUACCUAUAAGACUGGGAUAACUUCGGGAAACCGGAGCUAAUACCGGAUAAUAUAUUGAACCGCAUGGUUCAAUAGUGAAAGACGGUUUUGCUGUCACUUAUAGAUGGAUCCGCGCCGCAUUAGCUAGUUGGUAAGGUAACGGCUUACCAAGGCAACGAUGCGUAGCCGACCUGAGAGGGUGAUCGGCCACACUGGAACUGAGACACGGUCCAGACUCCUACGGGAGGCAGCAGUAGGGAAUCUUCCGCAAUGGGCGAAAGCCUGACGGAGCAACGCCGCGUGAGUGAUGAAGGUCUUCGGAUCGUAAAACUCUGUUAUUAGGGAAGAACAAAUGUGUAAGUAACUAUGCACGUCUUGACGGUACCUAAUCAGAAAGCCACGGCUAACUACGUG